rnacentral:lncRNA from 1 species
GUCUGUUUAUGUCUAAGGCUUUAAGCCAUGCUAUAUAGUUUAUGCUAAUGAUGUGAUUUAUGCUGAAUGGUUUUUGUAGGCCUGGAGCUGUGGGCCAUACCGCAUCAGUUGGACCUGUUAGGAGCUGGAAUUGCAGUUGCUAAGAUCAACUCCAUGUCUGUGUGAUUGACCGCUAAUAAAAACCAUGGACACCAAGGCUUGGGUGAUCCCUGCUUGUCAACACUUCUUAGAUGUUGCUGGGAGAAUUAAGUGCAUCAUAUGACCCUGUUGGGAAAAGAUAACUGGAAGCUUGUGUCUGAUUUCUUCUCGACUCUGCCCCAUAUGGUGCUUCUCAACACAGAGAACAGGGAACCCGGCUUCCCUCUACUUCACAGCUCUGCCAAUGCAUGGGCAGUUGAUGGAAAUGGCAAUGAGAAUGUAG